rnacentral:rRNA from 1 species
UACGUAGGGUCCGAGCGUUGUCCGGAAUUACUGGGCGUAAAGAGCUCGUAGGUGGUUUGUCGCGUUGUUCGUGAAAACUCACAGCUCAACUGUGGGCGUGCGGGCGAUACGGGCAGACUAGAGUACUGCAGGGGAGACUGGAAUUCCUGGUGUAGCGGUGGAAUGCGCAGAUAUCAGGAGGAACACCGGUGGCGAAGGCGGCG